GACGAACGCUGGCGGCGUGCCUAACACAUGCAAGUCGAGCGGGAACCUCAGGAGGGGUAACCCUUCUGAGGGGAGAGCGGCGAACGGGUGAGUAACACGUGGGCAACCUGCCCCGGACACCGGGAUAACCCAGGGAAACCUGAGCUAAUACCGGAUACUCCGGCGUGAUCGCAUGGUCGCGCCGGGAAAGCUCCGACGGUCCGGGAUGGGCCCGCGGCCUAUCAGCUUGUUGGUGGGGUAACGGCCCACCAAGGCGACGACGGGUAGCUGGUCUGAGAGGACGGCCAGCCACACUGGGACUGAGACACGGCCCAGACUCCUACGGGAGGCAGCAGUGGGGGAUCUUGCGCUAAUGCGCGAAAGCGUGACGCAGCGACGCCGCGUGGGGGAUGAAGGCCCUCGGGUUGUAAACCCCUUUCGGCAGGGACGAAGGGAAACUGACGGUACCUGCAGAAGAAGUCCCGGCUAACUACGUGCCAGCAGCCGCCGUAACAC
rnacentral:rRNA from 1 species